GUUCCCUUUUCUCCACAUCCUCUCCAAUAUUUGUUAUUUGUGUUCCUUUUUGAUGGUAGCCAUUCUGACUGGUAGGAGGUGAUAUCUCAUUGUGGUUUUAACAUGCGUUUCUCUGAUGAUUAACGAAGUUAAGCAUCCUUUCAUGAGCCUGUUGGCCAUCUGUGUGUCUUUUUUUGAAAAAUGUCUGAGUCUUCUGCCUAUUUCUUAAUUGGGUUGUUUGUUUUUUUGAUGUUGAGUUGUAUGAGCUGUUUUUUGUUGUUGUUGUUGGUCGUAUCACUUGCAGAUACUUUCUCCCAUUCAGUAGGUUGUCUUUUCAUGGUGUGGAUGAAUUUCUUUGCUGUGCAAAAGCUUUUAAGCUUAAUUAGGUCCCAUUCGUCCAUGGUUUUUUGAUGAGAGCUAUUCGUCUUAGUAAGGAUGUCUAGGACAUGAUGAGUCCCUUUUAUCUUGAUGCUCUAAGGAUUCUUUUUCUUUGGUUUUAGACAGUUUGAUUGUGAUAUGUGGGUGUGGGUCUCUUUGAGUUUAUCCUAACCAGACCUUAAAUUUGACCUUCUUGAAUGUGCAGGUUAAUGUUUUUCAUCAAAUUUGGAAAGUUUUUUGCCAUUAUUUCUUCAAAUGUUCUUUCUGCCCUUUUGUCUCCUCUCAUUCUGAGAUGCCCAUUAAGCAUGUAUUGGAAUUUUUGAUGGUGCUCCACAGAUCUCUGAGGCUUUGUUCAGUUUUUUCUUCCUUUUUUUUCUUCCUAUUCCUUACACUGGAUAAUCUUAAUUGACCCACCUUCAAGCUUCUUCCACCUGCUCAAAUCUAAUGUGGCGCUCCUCUAGUAAAUUUUCUGUUGUAGUUAUUAUAGUUUUGAACUACAGAAUUGCAUUUUGGUUCUUUUUCAUAAUUUCAUCUCUUUAUUGCUGUUCUCUAUUUGGUGAGACAUUAUCAUGCUCCCCAUCAGUUCUUUAGACACCGUUUCCUUUGUAUCUUUGAACAUAUUAAAAUAAGUGAUUUAAACUCUUUAUCUAGUAAGUCCAGUGUCUGAGCUGUCUCAGGAAAAAAAUCUCUGUUAAUUCUUUCUCUCCAGUGUAUACCCUAUACAUUCUUUGCUUCACAUGCCUCAUAGGUUUUUCUGUUGAAGAGUUGGCAUUUUGAAUAUUGUGAGGUGGUAACUUGGGAAAUCAGCAUCUACCUUGUUGCCAAGCUUUGUUGUUACUGUUUGGUGCAAACCCUUUUCUGAAUUAAUUCUGUAAAAUCGAUCAUCUUUUUCAUGUAUAGACAUGAAACUGUCUGCGCAGUUAACUCAGUGAUCAGUUAAUGAGUGGAGAGAGAUUUCAUUGCAUUUCCAUAGCCAGUGCAUCUCCCAGUCUUUGCCCAGGGCUCUGUGUGCAGGAGGGGCUCAUCUUCACCCUGGCCACUCAGCCAGGGAGUUGACAGCUCCGCCUUAGCUUUCACUUCCGGGUCCAGCGGCGUAUGGAGGUCAGCCAGCAGCGAGAGCCUGGGGCCUUCUUAGGUCUUGUGUGAGCAUCCACAUAGCCCUGCGCACACUCCCAGCCCUGCCCAGGCGCAUGUACGUGGCCUUCUAAAUCCCCAGGAAGGUGUCACGGCUUUUCAAAGCUGCCUUGGAGGUUCAUUCCUCAGCUUUUCCUCCUCAGCUUUUUGGCUGGCUAAUUGUCUGUCCCAACUGUUACUCACUGCCUCGGGCAGCCGCAAAGCACCCAGCCAGAUAGUUAAACAGUUGCCUUUAAUUUUUUUUUCUUUUUUUGAUAAACAUCCCCAGGGAAAAGGAUAUUUACGUGGAGUAAAUUCCAAGUCAGGGGAUAUAAAGAUGACUCUGCAAGCGGAGUCUUCUAGGGAACUACUGGAGACGUCGAUGAUGACAGUUCCUUGGGAAUGAAACUUCAGAGGAGCUCCAGCUCUGUUUUGAUCCGUCUGAUGGCUGUCAGGCUGCGUUUUUCCUAUGGUCAGUUUUCAAGGCAACCAUGGAGCCGGUGGUAGGGAAAUUGGAAUAGGGCAAGUUAAAACCCCACAAAUCUCACUGUUCUUACCAAGGUUUAGCCAUUUAUUGUGAAUAAAAGCUUCCCAGAUGACUGCAAGCCUUUGGUUAACUUUGUGAGUUCUGGCACAGUUGGUUUUGACAAUUUACUGCCAGUUUUUUUUGGAAGAGAGAAUUUUUGGAUGUAUCCCCCAUUACCAGUUCGAUUUCUGUUCUGGAAGAGCACCCUGGCCCCAGAGUGUAGAAGACACGGAGGUCUGGGGAAAUGCUGGGGUCAGGAAGCUGAGUCGGGGGUGUUGUCGUCGACAGGUGACAGAUGCUAGACACCUGUGCUGAGGUGUGGCUCUGAGGAUCAUUCGCAUAAUGACACGUAUGUAUUGAGUGAUUAGUUUGCUGAGUUCUGUGCUCAGUACUUUACAUACUUUUUUGUACAUCAUCAUACCUGUCUUAGAGAUGAUAAAACUACAUUUAGAAAAGUUCAAUACCUUGCCCAAGUCGCCCAGCUAAAGCGGGGUUAGAGCAGGUUUUUGAAUCUUUAUUAGUCUGAACUAAAAAUCCUUGCUCAUGGGAUCUCCUGUGCGGCGCAGCAGGAUUGGUGGCAUCUUGGGUGCUUCCCUGGCCCAGCACAGUGGGUUAAGGAUCUGGCACCGCCUCACCUUAGGUCGCAGCUAUGGCUUGGACCUGAUCCCUGGCCCUGGAAGUCCAUACACCACAGGGUGGCCAAAAAAGAAAGGAAAAAAAAAAAAAAAAAAAAACCCUUGCUCAUAAUCACUACCUAUAUGUCUAGAAGCAGGCUCCGUGACUUCAUUAGGAAGAGAACUUUGUUCAGCAAAUAUUUUUGGUGUUGAUCUGUGUGCCAGGUGCUGUCGCCAGGGUCAGGGAUAUAGCUGUGCACAGGACAGGAGAAAACAUCCCUGUUCUCAGGGAGCUUACAUUCCAGUGGGUGGAGGCAAUAAACAAGAUGUAUCCGCAAACUUUGUUUUAUGUUGGGUAGGGAUUGAGUGUUGAAAUAAAGCACAGUGAGGAGAGGAAAGAGAGGGCCUUGCUGGAAAGUAAUGCUCGAGUCAGGAUCUGAAGCUGGGAGGAGAACCAUGUGGGUAUCUAGGUGAAUAGCAGUGUAGACAGAAGAAAGGGCAAGGGCAGGGGUCCGAGGAGGAAUGGGUCUGGCUCGUGUGAGGAGCAGCGAGGGCCGGUGGCGAUGGGGUGGAGCCGAGUGGACUGGAAGGAGGAAGGUGACAAGGUCAGAGGGCUCAUGACGGUCCAGAGGCAUGGACCUCACAGGCCACCCACCGAGUGUGACUUGGAGGAAUCCUUGGAUUGAUUACAGGGAGACGAGGCCAGAAACCAGGCGGCCAGGCGGGAAGUCUGCAGUGACCUAGGAGAGAGGAGGCGGUGGCUUGGACCAGGGUGGCUGCCGUGGGAAGGGGAGGAGUCAUCAGCUUCUGCCUCCUCCCUCUUCUGAGGGUCAGGCUUCCCGGAUUUACUUAUUUCCCUGGAGGUGGGGAGAGAGAAGGAAAGUCGUCAAGAGUGACUCCAAGUCCUGGGACCUUAGUAACUGGCAGGAUGGAGUUUCCCUUGCUGAGAGGAGGACGAGUGGGGGGCCGAGGUUUGGGGAGUCAGAGCAGGUGCCGGUUCUGGCAGUGUCUGUUGAGUUACCUGUUCCGUGUUCUUGUGGAGCUUUCCAGCGGAGAGUCUUAGGAGCAGGUCUGGUGUUCAGGGAGGGCACGGAGCCUGGGUGGGCACCGUGGACAAGAGGACCAAGAAAUGGCCAUUCAUAGAGCCUAGUGGUGAAAGGGGUAGGGGAGAAAAAUCUCAGGCGCAAAUACUCAAAAAGCAUAUAGCCCUUUGUAUCUCCCCAGCUUCAUCUCACACAUUGUCCACCUCUACAGAGGCACCCCUCCCUCUGCAGGAGUCACAUUGAUGACCUUGAAUUAUAAAAAGAAAUAAAGUGAUAGAGCAAGAAGCAUGGGACACUGUCUAGUGCCCUUCUAAGCCGGCUCUGUGCCCUGUACCGACUUAUAGGCCGGCUCACCAAACGGGUACCUGCCGAGAGGGCAGGGAAGCCUGGCAUUAAUUCUGAAAAGACUUCUACACAAAUAUGUUCAACUUGACAUAAAUCAGCAUUUGAAAUUUGAACAGAGGGAAAGCCUCUUUUUGGUGAAAUGCAUUCAGGUGGACUCGCUCUUUGCCCAGGGAUGUUGGGACAGAUGAGACUUCACUGUGAAAGGCAAGUUGGGAAGAGUCGGGAAGCAGCGGAAGGCACUGGGACAGACCUCAUUCACAUCCUCCUCCUCCAAGGGAGCUUGCCAGGCGCCUAGGAAGACACACUUCACGUCGGAUGUAAAUGAGCGCUCUCUGUUCAUGGUCUUCCCAGGGACUGGCCCGCUGCUUCUCCAUACGGGCACCAUCUCGAACCAUCUUUUCAUUCGGUUGCCACAUACGGUUGGCUCAACCCAACUAAUCUUUUCUCUGUCGCGUCUCGUUGCUGCAAUCUGUGGUUCCAGCUUUUAGAGACUUAAUAAACGGAUGUGUUUUCCAGCCCCGAGGAAUGAAAUGAAGAUUGUCACUUGGCGGUGUUCUCCGCCAUCAUGUUUUUGUUGCCGUCGUAGAAAUGGAGCAGAAAAUUACGGCAGCUCCUUUAUUGCCCAACUGCCCGCGCCAUUUCCAGUCCUUGGGAAGGAAAUCAAUUGUUUCUGCAAAUUUCCUACAGACAUUUGGUUAUUAUCUGUUGAAAUCCUCUGACCAAGCCUUAGUUCUGGGACAGAGAAAGAAACCACUUUUCUCGUCUCUGUGAAAAAUCAACUGCUACGGAAUCCUUUCAUUGUGUCUCUGCCGCUCACUCUGUCACAGGACAUUAAUGAAAGAGAGAUGCUUCUUUGUCAUGCAGCUUGACACUUUGUUCGAAACUUAUUUCUCGACUAUUCCUAAGCUUAACUCUGGACCAAAUGCAGUGCUUACAACACUCAGAUAAGGAAAUGUUUAAUCCCACUUUCUCGAUGAGACAACUGAGGCCAAAGAACUUAGAUAUGUCGCUUAAAGCCGGUGAGUUUUCUUCACAACAGUGUCCACUGCCCCUCCUGAGGUCCGUAUCACCUCCCAGGAAGAAUUUAUUUUUCACACUUUGGCAUUUUGUGUAGGAAUCACAAUGUGAGUAAAAAUAUCUCACAGUUUCUGCAGGGUAAGAAUCCAGUGUUGUCUCUGUAGUGGCUCCCGUCGCUGAUGAAGUGUGGGUUCGACCCCUGGCCUGGGAACGUCUGUACGCCGAGGGUUCGGCCCUGAAAAGACCAAAAGAGAAAAAGUUUGGAAGUCACUUGGCAGACAUGGGGAGCAUGUUGGCAGUCAUCUGCCAAGGGUAUAGACUGAAUAAUUAGGGAUGGAUUUUGAUACUGCUCAUAGCUGUCAACUUACUUAGCUGGGCAAGUCACUGACCAGCGAUGGCUUCAGUCCUGGGAGGCGCUGGCACAGGGGUGUCCCCAGCCACGUGUGGAGAAGAGGCACAGGCGGAAGACUGGGCAGGUGCUAGUCUGGGGCUGGUGGGAGAGUUAUUUCCUGAUCCAGCUUCUGCUGCUUCCAAAGGACUCAGAAUGCGGCAGCCUGGGAGGAAUGAGGCUGGGAGCUGGGGGAGCUGGGGCACCAAAGAGGGGCGGGUUCCCUGCGGACUGGAGAGGCUUCCAAUCUCCCGCCAGCACCUGGGGGCCUCAAACCGCAGAAACUCAAAUUCCCACAGUUCUGAAGGCUGAAGUCCAAGGGCAAGGUGUGGCAGGGCUGCUUUCCUCUGCGGCGUCUCGCCCCCUGUCCUCACAGGUCCCCUCCUCUGCCUGUUAGUGAUAAAUUUCCUCUUCUGAUCAGGACACUGGUCAUAGUGGAUCGGGGCCCACCCUAAUGACCUCAUGUUAACUUACCACUUGAAAUACCCCAUAUCCAAACGCAGUCACAUGCCGAGGAGCUGGGGUUAGAUUUCAACCUGUGAACUUGGGGGGCAUGCAGUUCCGCCCGUAACACCAAUUUUCAAUGGUUUUUCAGAUUCCUUUUUAAUGUGCCCCACAAGAGGGGGAAAACCCCAUUUUGAGCGCAAACACCCAAUGAAUCUACUUAUUUAUAAAUCAUAUUCUCCUGGACUAAUAUAUUUUGCACACUGGAAAGCAUACCCGUACAUAGACAAUUUAACGGGCAGACAAGAUGGAAAUAGAUGUUCUGUUUUGGGUCCCCUGGGACGGAGACCCCCUGGUCCUCAAAGGGGGACCAUUGCCUUUGGGGGGACCGAGUCUGGAUCUCCAGAUUGACACACUUAUUCCUUAGCUUUGAACACCUUCUGUAAGAUCCCAGCCACGGCUCCCGUCACCCUCUCUCUCUCGAAGGAAACGUGCCCUCCCUCCGGACCCGUCUCGUGUCAGUGUGUAGUUACCUCAGCAAUGGAAUUGCCUCCAGUUCCAAGUCCCAAGGGCACGCAUCCAUCCCCCCGCAGGCUCACCACCCCUGUGUUCCAUUCGCCCCCCCCCCAACCGUUUUCUAUUUGAUUGAGUUUACAUUCUUCCCGGCUCCUCACCGAGGCUGUGAACGCCCAGGGGGACAGGUUCGUCUUCGACUCUGUUUUCCUCGUGCCCAGCGUGGUGCUGGGGAGCAGCAGGGGCUUCCCAGAUUGCUGACGUCCUGGCUUUUCUACUUCAUCACAAGGCAAAACAGAAAAUUAACAACUCACUAUCGCUUUAGAGGUUAAAAAUUCAAGCCUUGCAAUUAAGCCAAAGAUAGAUAUGACUAUCUAUCACAAUAAAAAAUGAAUAGCCCUCUGAAUUGCCCUUGUAGAGAGGCCUCUGGGAGUAAAAAGACAUACAGGUCAAUACGUUUGACCGCUGUUGGUGUUCCCAGUGUGCAGGGCUCAGGGCUGCAGGCAAGGUGGUAUCCAGCCGCAACCUCAGCUCAGAGCUGCUGCAGGUGAAUUGACCUGUAAUGUUGCCUGAACUGUCAGCAGAAAAGCAAAGACAAGAUGUGAAAGUUAUCCUAAGGGGGAGGUCCAAGGACCAUGGCGAAGAGGCUGCCACAGUCCUGCCCACGGAGGAGAGGAAAAGCCUUGUUAGCGAGUGUCUGUUACGUGCCAGACACUGCUUAGCUUUCCCUGCCUGAGCUCCUUCAAUCCUCCAACACCACCAAGUAGGAAACAUCCGUGCUUCGCAGAUGCUGUUACUUCGAGACGUGAGGUAGUCGUCCCAGUAUCACAGAGCUAGGAGGGGAGUGGAGGAGCCGGAUUUGAACCCGGGGCUGUCUGACGGGGGGAGACGGUGGCUUCAUCUAUCAUCCUGCUGGGACCGGUGGAUCCCAGGCGCUUCCCCAUCUUCCAGCAUCUUUCCUUGACUCUCUCACCUCUUCUAGGCAGUGCCUCUGCCCUAUUCCCCGGUGGCGCUCUCUUCUGAUCAAGGCGGGCUGGCUGGACAAAGGCGGUAAUUACUGACCGAGGACCAGCCCCCCUCUCUGGCGAUCGACGUCCAUUCAGACUCGGGUCUCGAGGGGACCGUGUCGGACCCAGGAUGGAGAGAGAACCAAGGGCGGGCAGGCCUGUAGGACCUUGCCAGAUCAUGUCAGGCUGGCAGCCGUCUCUCCUGGGCCGUAUGGAGGCAUGGUGGGUUUUGUGUGGCUUUUGUCUGGGUUUAGUCCCAACCUCAGUGGGAGACGAACGAUGGGCUAUUAGACACCCUUACCUUAGGCUAUGAUGGACAGAACACCAACACGCCUAAGAACAGACUCUAUCUGUUGCUUAAUUAGAAGGAGGAGGCGUGAGUUCUGCUUUAAAGAAGAGCCUCUCAGAGUUCCCCUUGUGGCUCAUGGAACCCGACUAGUAUCCAUGAGGACGCAGGUUCGAUCCCUGGCCUCGCUCAGUGGGUUAAGGAUCCGCUGUUGCUGCGAGUGGUAGUGUAGGUCGAAGAUGUGGCUUGGAUUCAGCAUUGCUGUGGUUGUGGUGUAGGCAGGCAGCUGCAGCCCCCAUUCAACCCCUAGCCUGGGAGCUUCCUACAUCACAGGUGUAGCCAUAAGAAAAAAAGAGAGCGAGAGAAGAGUCUUUCUCGUGGUGCUGGCCUUCCCUUCCUGGGUCACCUGGGAUUUGAGGUCGGUUGUGCUCUUGAGUAUGUUCUUAGUGAACUUAGUUCACUGGCCGGAGACUUUCCCUUGAGGUUUCUUUGCCAAUGGACCCGGCUUCUAGGGCCGAGUGGCUGGUGGGGCUUUGUGGGCUAAGGGAGAGCUCCCGGUAGGCCUCAUCAAAACUGCACACCUUGUCACCAGAGGGGGCUCUGGGCAUUUUGACACUGUCUGAAACCUGCCCUCUAGUCUUUCCAAGUCAAGGGGACAUCAUCUCUCCACUCUUUGGAGCCCCAUUCACCCUUGAAAAAACGGAUCAAAUUUUCAACUUGACAAUAAGUGCCAGGCAAAUGCCUUCAUGGGUGCAGAACCCCCGCCCCCGCAGGCUCAGUGAUGGACAGUGGGGGACACAGACUCUAAAACCGAAAAACAUCCCAAGAAAUAGCAACAACAACAACAACAACAACAACAAAA